rnacentral:rRNA from 1 species
GAUGAACGCUGGCGGCGUGCCUAAUACAUGCAAGUCGAGCGAACAGAUGAGGAGCUUGCUCCUCUGACGUUAGCGGCGGACGGGUGAGUAACACGUGGAUAACCUACCUAUAAGACUGGGAUAACUUCGGGAAACCGGAGCUAAUACCGGAUCAUAUAUUGAACCGCAUGGUUCAAUAGUGAAAGACGGUUUUGCUGUCACUUAUAGCUGGAUCCGCGCCGCAUUAGCUAGUUGGUAAGGUAACGGCUUACCAAGGCAACGAUGCGUAGCCGACCUGAGAGGGUGAUCGGCCACACUGGAACUGAGACACGGUCCAGACUCCUACGGGAGGCAGCAGUAGGGAAUCUUCCGCAAAGGGCGAAAGCCUGACCGAGCAACGCCGCGUGAGUGAUGAAGGUCUUCGGAUCGUAAAACUCUGUUAUUAGGGAAGAACAAAUGUGUAAGUAACUAUGCACGUCUUGACGGUACCUAAUCAGAAAGCCACGGCUAACUACGUG